CCUACGGGAGGCAGCAGUGAGGAAUAUUGGUCAAUGGGCGUAAGCCUGAACCAGCCAAGUCGCGUGAGGGAUGAAGGUUCUAUGGAUCGUAAACCUCUUUUAUAAGGGAAUAAAGUGCGGGACGUGUCCCGUUUUGUAUGUACCUUAUGAACAAGGAUCGGCUAACUCCGCGCCAGCAGCCGCGGUAAUACGGAGGAUCCGAGCGUUAUCCGGAUUUAUUGGGUUUAAAGGGUGCGUAGGCGGCCUUUUAAGUCAGCGGUGAAAGUCUGUGGCUCAACCAUGGAAUUGCCGUUGAAACUGGGAGGCUUGAGUAUGUUUGAGGCAGGCGGAAUGCGUGGUGUAGCGGUGAAAUGCUUAGAUAUCACGCAGAACCCCGAUUGCGAAGGCAGCCUGCCAGGCCAUGACUGACGCUGAUGCACGAAAGCGUGGGGAGCAAACAGGAUUAGAUACCCCAGUAGUC
rnacentral:rRNA from 1 species